GGUCUGCAGUCUACCAAGAGGAGUAUACCGUACGGGAGCCCUAUCUCUCACUAUUCCUCAAGUCUAGUGGUAUCGUAUGUUCUGCAUUUCAUUGAGGAAUGACCUGAUGACAAGGUGCACCAUUUUUUACGGUUUCCCCCCAGUACAUCUUGUAUUUCAUCGUGUUCUGACGUCAUGGUAUCGACAUGUCUUCUUCCUUCUUGCCGUUCAGUACAUCGGCUUCUGCUCCACACAUAUUUCAUUUUUAUUCGUCCUCUGUGUCGUACCCCUAUUCUCCGGAUAGGCCAUGGCUCUGACAGAUUGUACACGACCAUGUAGAUCCAGGAUCUGCUUCUUUCGUCCGUCUACUCAUGGACAGCUGUACGGCCGUUUUCGACUGUUUCUGCAUCUUCGCUCGCCCGUUGGAUUUGGUGGAUCCUCUCAUUGACUGACCUUGAGUUCCUCUGGGACACUUUUGGUUCGGGGUGGUGUCACCUCAACAAUUUUGGAAGCCGUUGGGUCCCUUCUGCCUUUU